rnacentral:lncRNA from 1 species
UCAUUUUAAGAAAAUAAGGGAUCCCUUACCUGAUCCUUUUAAUUUCUUAAUUACUUGAUCAACAAGUACUCUGAUAAUUAUAUAAACUCGAGAGAUGGAUUAUAUGUUUAAAUCUGACCGUAAUAGUAUAUAAUUAUGUUUUUUGCAUGGCCAUAGAACUCAGAAUUUAUUUUUAAAAUAAAGAUAUACAUAUACACAGCAAUAACUUGUAAGUUACAAGUCACAAAUUCCAACCACCACCUGCAACACCGUCAUCCAGUAUACUAGCAAAGAAAGAGCUCAGAGCCUAUCGAUAUCUCGUCAAACUAGAGCUGGGCGGUGGAUUAGAAGGGUUCACAUUAGUUAUUGAUGGAGCCGAACAAGCAAACUCUAUUAAAACUCCAAAGAAGAACAGCCAGCCAGUUCACAAGACUUUUUCCACUAGACAAAGACUAUAAUAUAGGCAAGUAAUAAAAAAUGCAUUCCAGUUUUGUGGAAUCAAAAUAUUAAGUUUAGUUAUCAGUUUCAAUUAUUAAUAAAAUAAAUCACAACCCACAAUAGAAAAUGAGAAAUUGGUCCAAUGUGCCUCCUCUUCCAUAUAAUGAAAACCAGAAUCUCUGAGAAUUUACAAGCCUACAUACAUCAAUUCAUUUUCAAACCACACUUUAAACUAAUAAAACCAGAGAUCCACAAGAAGAAUCCAAGCUAUAUUUUUCCAAUUCACAGUGUCCAUAUUAUUCAUCAAAAUAGAAUGUGAGAUAGAUAAGCCGGCUACGCUGUGAAAGCUUUGCCCCUCUUGAUAAAAGCCUUUUCCAUCCGCAGAUAGAUUCUCAUUCAUUAGAAGCAAGCGUCCAAGAGACAGCAACAGCAAAGAGCAGCCAAACUGCAUAAUAAUAGUUUAUAAGAACAACAACAACAACAACAACAAAGGUCAAUCCUAAUCCUUUCCCGAGCGACAUUUGCAAGAAUACACAGCUAAUACAUUCAUUAAAAUGGCAAUGUGAUUAAUCUAUUUCCUUGUUUCAAACCAUAGACAAGAAUACAGCUAAUAAACUCAUGAAAAUGGCGGUGUGAUUAAUCUAUUUCCUUGUUUCUAACUAAAGUAGUCAACAACAUCAAAUUAAUCAACCUCUGCAUUGUAACAAUUCAGUAAAAAUUAUUGCAAAUUCCAAGUUGAUUUUUUUGUCCCAAACCCAAUUAAUUUAAGCUACAUUGAAAACAACUUGGCAGGAUAUUAUUGCAAUGCCAAAGCACCUUAAAUAACUUCUAAACACAACUAGUUUAUUGCACUAAUUCAACUAAAUAAAAUCAUCAGCACUUCAAAUAAAAUAUUUUUUGAACUAUAAAUCCAGAAGGAAAAAAAAACAGGGGACUACAUUUCAGCAUAGAAAAUUAGUAGUGGUACAACAUUUUAUUUUAAAAAAUUGAUAUUUUCAGGUGAAAACUAUAACUAUAAGAUUUAUAAAGACUAUUUUCAUGUGAAAAUAUGAGUUUCCUUUAUUUUAGUAAAAAACUAGACACAACUAUAAUGACAAAAUGACCGAAAUACCAGGCCUAGUGCCUACGGUUAGGAGGGUAAUUCAGGAAAAUCGCACCCAAAAAAUUCCAUGGGACACGAUCUCUAUCAGUAUCGUGAUUGACAGAAACCGGCCGACUGAGCACGACCGGGUUGACCCGUUAUCAAAAUUCAUGCAUUAAUAAUCACAACCCAGAUUAUCCCAGAUCUAAUUCAUCCACCAAAAUUAUACAAAAAUAUGCAUGCAUUGCUUUGUAUAUAUAGAAAGAUAAAAUAUACAUACGAUGCGAGAUAAAAUUAAAGGUCGUACCAGCCUUCCAAGCAACCACUGCUGCUUUGUUGUUGUUGAGGAGGCGGCGGCGGAGCGUACUGGGGUGCGUACUGGGGGGCGUACUGCGGAGGAUAAGCGCCCUGAGGAGGGUACCCCGGUUGGGGAUACCCCGGCUGUGGGUAUCCUUGUGGAGGAUAUCCCGGUGGCGGAUAAGCGUCCUUAGGGUAAUCUUGAGGAGGAUAACCUAUAACAUUAUAAUAAAUGAUAAAUCAAUCAAACACUAAUUCAACAAAAGAAAUUCCCACAGAUCUAAUCGAAAUUCAUCAAUCACAGAAGAUGGAAGAACACCCAAAUUAAACAAUGACCUUGAGGAGGUGGGUUACCGACGGGCGGCUGACUCUGGUUGUAAUGACUCAUGAUUUGUUGAGGAGAGAUAAAAUGGUUGAGUGGGUUGAGAGGAAAGAGAAAGGGGUUUUUGAUGAGUUUAUUUAUAGGGGGUGAUGAGAAUGAAACAGAGAUAUAUAAUGCGGUUGUGCGUGAGGAGGUGGCAUUUGUUACGACUGGAAAGCAAUUGCUUCACCAAUAAAAAAAGAAAUAAAAGGAAAGUUAAUCCAAACAGGGUGUUAUUACGGGAACUAUCUAUCUUCAUCUACAUGACUACAUUCUAC